rnacentral:rRNA from 1 species
GACGAACGCUGGCGGCGUGCUUAACACAUGCAAGUCGAACGAAGUGGCGAACGGGUGAGUAACGCGUAAUCAACCUGCCCUUCAGCGGGGGACAACAGUUGGAAACGACUGCUAAUACCCCAUACUGAAGGAGGGGAUUGCGUCUGAUUAGCUAGUGGGAGGGGUAACGGCCCAACAAGGCGAUGAUCAGUAGCCGGUCUGAGAGGAAGAACGGCCAAAUUGUGACUGAGACACGGACCAGACCUCUACGGGAGGCAGGAGUGGGGAAUCUUCCGCAAUGGACGAAAGUCUGACGGAGGAACGCCGGGUGAGAGAUGACGGCCUUCGGGUUGUAAAGCUCUGUUAAUCGGGACGCGGUACCGGAAUAGAAAGCAACGGCUAACUACGUGCCAGCAGCCGCGGUAAUAC